rnacentral:rRNA from 1 species
UGGGGAAUUUUGGACAAUGGGCGAAAGCCUGAUCCAGCAAUGCCGCGUGUGUGAAGAAGGCCUUCGGGUUGUAAAGCACUUUUGUCCGGAAAGAAAUGGCUCUGGUUAAUACCUGGGGUCGAUGACGGUACCGGAAGAAUAAGGACCGGCUAACUACGUGCCAGCAGCCGCGGUAAUACGUAGGGUCCAAGCGUUAAUCGGAAUUACUGGGCGUAAAGCGUGCGCAGGCGGUUGUGCAAGACCGAUGUGAAAUCCCCGAGCUUAACUUGGGAAUUGCAUUGGUGACUGCACGGCUAGAGUGUGUCAGAGGGGGGUAGAAUUCCACGUGUAGCAGUGAAAUGCGUAGAGAUGUGGAGGAAUACCGAUGGCGAAGGCAGCCCCCUGGGAUAACACUGACGCUCAUGCACGAAAGCGUGGGGAGCAAACAGGAUUAGAUACCCUGGUAGUCCACGCCCUAAACGAUGUCAACUAGUUGUUGGGGGAUUCAUUUCCUUAGUAACGUAGCUAACGCGUGAAGUUGACCGCCUGGGGAGUACGGUCGCAAG